rnacentral:rRNA from 1 species
UGGGGAAUAUUGCGCAAUGGGGGAAACCCUGACGCAGCGACGCCGUGUGAGGGAAGAAGGCCUUCGGGUCGUAAACCUCUGUCGGGAGGGAAGAACCGCCGGUUUCCGAACAGGGAGCCGGUCUGACGGUACCUCCGAAGGAAGCGCCGGCUAACUCCGUGCCAGCAGCCGCGGUAAUACGGAGGGCGCGAGCGUUAAUCGGAAUCACUGGGCGUAAAGCGCGCGUAGGCGGCUUGAUAAGUCGGGCGUGAAAGCCCUCGGCCCAAAGGAGGAACUGCGGUCGAUACUGGUAGGCGUGAGUCCUGGGGAGGGUGGCGGAAUUCCGGGUGGAGGGGUGAAAUCAGUAGAUAUCCGGAGGAACAGCGGUGGCGAAGGCGGCAGCCUGGAGAGGUACUGACGGUGAGGUGCGGAAGCGUGGGGAG